AUUGAACGCUGGCGGCAGGCCUAACACAUGCAAGUCGAGCGACCGGCGGACGGGUGAUUAAUGUAUGGCGAUCUGCCCGUUAGGGGGGGAUAACUACUCCAAACGGUAGCUAAUACCGCAUACUAUCGGAUCAACCCCUAUGGGAUUAGCUAGUGGGUGGGGUAAUGGCCCACCAAGGCGACGAUCCCUAGCUGGUCUGAGAGGAUGAUCAGCCACACUGGAACUGAGACACGGCCCAGACUCCUACGGGAGGCAGCAGUGGGGAAUAUUGGACAAUGGGCGCAAGCCUGAUGCAGCCAUGCCGCGUGUGUGAAGAAGGCCCUAGGAUUGUAAAGUACUUUAAGUCGGGAGGCGUUACCAACAGAAGAAGCACCGGCUAACUCCGUGCCAGCCGCCGCGGUAAUAC
rnacentral:rRNA from 1 species